CAUUGGCAGAGACAACACAGACUGACAAAGUUGAGGCAUCUCGAGUGUGAGAGACCUAUACCCUCACUCCUCUCAGCUUCAGCCUGUUGCUGCAAUGCCUGGGACUUCUGGCUGUCUGCUGAGGAGAGCAAGUGGCCAACAGCUAGGGCAAGGUGAAGCUUUCUCUGGUGGCCGUGGUUCUACUG
rfam:Ictidomys tridecemlineatus contig111092, whole genome shotgun sequence.